rnacentral:rRNA from 1 species
GAUGAACGCUGGCGGCGUGCCUAAUACAUGCAAGUCGAGCGAACGGACGAGAAGCUUGCUUCUCUGAUGUUAGCGGCGGACGGGUGAGUAACACGUGGAUAACCUACCUAUAAGACUGGGAUAACUUCGGGAAACCGUAGCUAAUACCGGAUAAUAUUUUGAACCGCAUGGUUCAAAAGUGAAAGACGGUCUUGCUGUCACUUAUAGAUGGAUCCGCGCUGCAUUAGCUAGUUGGUAAGGUAACGGCUUACCAAGGCAACGAUGCAUAGCCGACCUGAGAGGGUGAUCGGCCACACUGGAACUGAGACACGGUCCAGACUCCUACGGGAGGCAGCAGUAGGGAAUCUUCCGCGAUGGGCGAAAGCCUGACGGAGCAACGCCGCGUGAGUGAUGAAGGUCUUCGGAUCGUAAAACUCUGUUAUUAGGGAAGAACAUAUGUGUAAGUAACUGUGCACAUCUUGACGGUACCUAAUCAGAAAGCCACGGCUAACUACG